ACGCGAGGAACCUUACCAGGUCUUGACAUCCUUCGCUACUUCUAGAGAUAGAAGGUUCCCCCUCGGGGGACGAAGUGACAGGUGGUGCAUGGUUGUCGUCAGCUCGUGUCGUGAGAUGUUGGGUUAAGUCCCGCAACGAGCGCAACCCUUGUUCUUAGUUGCCAUCAUUUAGUUGGGCACUCUAAGGAGACUGCCGGUGACAAACCGGAGGAAGGUGGGGAUGACGUCAAAUCAUCAUGCCCCUUAUGACCUGGGCUACACACGUGCUACAAUGGACGGUACAAACGGUUGCCAACCCGCGAGGGGGAGCUAAUCCGAUAAAACCGUUCCCAGUUCGGAUUGUAGGCUGCAACUCGCCUACAUGAAGCCGGAAUCGCUAGUAAUCGCGGAUCAGCAUGCCGCGGUGAAUACGUUCCCGGGCCUUGCACUCACCGCCCGU
rnacentral:rRNA from 1 species